rnacentral:rRNA from 1 species
CCUACGGGAGGCAGCAGUGAGGAAUAUUGGUCAAUGGACGGAAGUCUGAACCAGCCAUGCCGCGUGCAGGAAGACGGCUCUAUGGGUUUUAAACUGCUUUUGUACAAAGGUAGACCUGAAUACGUGUAUUCAGCUGCACGGACUUUACGAAUGAGGAUCGGCUAACUCCAUGCCAGCCGCCGCGGUAAUACGGAGGAUCCAAGCGUUAUCCGGAUUUAUGGGGUUUAAAGGGUGCGUAGGCUGAUGGGUAAGUUAGAGGGGAAAUGUCCUAGCUUAACUCGGGAACUGCCUCUAAUACUGUUGAGCUAGAGAGUAGAUGCGGUAGGAGGAAUGUAUGGUGUAGCGGUGAAAUGCUUAGAGAUCAUACAGAACACCGAUUGCGAAGGCAGCUUACCAAGCGAUAUCUGACGUUGAGGCACGAAAGCGUGGGGAGCAAACAGGAUUAGAUACCCCUGUAGUC